rnacentral:rRNA from 1 species
UACGGAGGGUACAAGCAUUAAUCGGAAUUACUGGGCGUAAAGGGUGCGUAGGCGGAUUGGUAAGUCAGGUGUGAAAUUCCGGUACUCAAUACCGGAGCUGCACUUGAAACUACCUUUCUUGAGGGUGGGCGGAGAGAACGGAAUUCCAUAUGUAGCGGUGAAAUGCGUAGAUAUAUGGAAGAACACCUGUGGCGAAAGCGGUUCUCUAGCUUACUUCUGACGCUGAUGCACGAGAGUGUGGGGAGCAAACAGGAUUAGAUACCCCUGUAGU